AUUGAACGCUGGCGGCAUGCUUUACACAUGCAAGUCGAACGGUAACAGGGUGCUUGCACCGCUGACGAGUGGCGAACGGGUGAGUAAUGCGUCGGAACGUGCCGAGUAGUGGGGGAUAACGCAGCGAAAGUUGUGCUAAUACCGCAUACGUACUGAGGUAGAAAGUGGGGGACCUUCGGGCCUCACGCUAUUCGAGCGGCCGACGUCUGAUUAGCUAGUAGGUGAGGUAAAGGCUCACCUAGGCGACGAUCAGUAGCGGGUCUGAGAGGAUGAUCCGCCACACUGGGACUGAGACACGGCCCAGACUCCUACGGGAGGCAGCAGUGGGGAAUUUUGGACAAUGGGCGAAAGCCUGAUCCAGCCAUGCCGCGUGUCUGAAGAAGGUCUUCGGGUUGUAAAGGACUUUUGUCAGGGAGGAAAUCCCUAGUGCUACUAACACUGGGGGAUGACAGUACCUGAAGAAUAAGCACCGGCUAACUACGUGCCAGCAGCCGCGGUAA
rnacentral:rRNA from 1 species